AGCGAACGCUGGCGGCAGGCCUAACACAUGCAAGUCGAACGGACCCUUCGGGGUUAGUGGCGGACGGGUGAGUAACACGUGGGAACGUGCCCUUUGGUUCGGAACAACACAGGGAAACUUGUGCUAAUACCGGAUAAGCCCUUCGGGGGAAAGAUUUAUUGCCAAAGGAGCGGCCCGCGUUGGAUUAGGUAGUUGGUGAGGUAAAGGCUCACCAAGCCUGCGAUCCAUAGCUGGUCUGAGAGGAUGAUCAGCCACAUUGGGACUGAGACACGGCCCAAACUCCUACGGGAGGCAGCAGUGGGGAAUCUUGCGCAAUGGGCGAAAGCCUGACGCAGCCAUGCCGCGUGAAUGAUGAAGGUCUUAGGAUUGUAAAAUUCUUUCAGCGGGGACGAUAAUGACGGUACCCGCAGAAGAAGCCCCGGCUAACUUCGUGCCAGCAGCCGCGGUAAUACGAAGGGGGCUAGCGUUGCUCGGAAUUACUGGGCGUAAAGGGAGCGUAGGCGGAUAGUUUAGUCAGAGGUGAAAGCCCAGGGCUCAACCUUGGAAAUGCCUUUGAUACUGGCUAUCUUGAGUAUGGGAGAGG
rnacentral:rRNA from 1 species